GGUUUUGUAGUGUAGUUGGUUAUCACAGUGGAUUCUGAUGUUAUCAUUUGAUUUCCACUAACCCCGGUUCGAAUCCGGGCAAGACCU